UAAUGUAUGGGGAUCUGCCCGAUAGAGGGGAAUAACUACUGGAAACGGUGGCUAAUACCGCAUAAUGUCUACGGACCAAAGCAGGGGCUCUUCGGACCUUGCACUAUCGGAUGAACCCAUAUGGGAUUAGCUAGUAGGUGGGGUAAAGGCUCACCUAGGCGACGAUCUCUAGCUGGUCUGAGAGGAUGAUCAGCCACACUGGGGCUGAGACACGGCCCAG
rnacentral:rRNA from 1 species